UGCAGCAGAGACAAACUAAUUUGCAGAAUUUCUUGGUGUUGCGAUCUCUCCCCAUCUUAGCAUUGUCUUUCGUUGGAAGGGGAGGAAAUUUGUGUAUAUCACACCUAUCAGCUGCAUCCCACAAAGAGGAAUUUUGUGUCAGACAUUGCCAUUGGAGAAGCUUUGACAGGAAAUGGAUUGUAAUUUGCAAGUGAGGUGGGGCUUUUGAUUGGGCCUUGUGGUGGUUGGAUCCGCUAACAGAUAGGGAGAAGCAUGAUAGAUCGGGCAGAGAUCGCAGGUCGCGGCCAUGGGAGAGCAGGGGAGGCGUGGUUUACGUGAUGGAUAUGUAGUAGGGGAGGGUGAGGAGGACGGGCAUGUGGGAAGGCACAGCAAUGCCGGAGCUAAAGCGGGCGCUUGUGUCACGGUGGUGCUUGCUGGUCAUCGUCCAUAAUCUCCAAGUGCAGAUUGGACGAUGAAGAGACGAGGAAGGAUGUUAGGAAGAGUGAAGAACAAGGCGGACCUUCUCUGGUGGAAGAACAAGAUGAACCCUCUUUUGUGGGUCCUGUUUUUGGCAAAAUAUGUGGGGACUCGAAUGACAAUGAGCAGGUGCCAUUAAUUCCUACAAUGGCCUUUUUCUUCUUCUCAGAAGCCAGAUAAUGUUCAGUUGGAAGAGAUGGAUAUGAGGUGGCGGAAUGGCAAGGCGUCUGGUCAGAUGACCUGUGUCUGUGGUCAGUUGGUGGAUCUCGACUACAGGAACAUCACCGAUGCAAUCCAUAGUAGAUUGGUAAAUUGCUCACACAACAUGUUUAGAAUUGGAAAAUAUUAAUUUUGUUCUUCUGUUUUAUUUUUUCUGACUAAAAGUAGCAGUUUUGCUUCUGUAUUAAGAUUUCAACAAGAAUUUAUAAAGGCCUCUAAGGAAGCAGAGGAAAGAAAGAAAACGCCUGAUAGUGCAAAGUGCACUUUGGCAGUAAGGUCAACAUGAGACUACUAAUGAAACACCUCCAUCAGGAGGCAACAAUAUACAGAUACGAACUCCCAAAUAUUGCAUGCUCAUGAAAGCUGAUAACAUGCUCAUGAAAGCUGAUAGCAUGCUCAUAAAAAGACUUGGGUGUGCAGCGCCACUCGAAGCUUUAGAAGUUGUUCCAAUGGGAUGUAGAUAGUAGGAUCGAGACUACAAUGUCACAUGGUGGAAG